AUUGCACGCUGGCGGCAGGCCUAACACAUGCAAGUCGAACGAGUGGCGGACGGGUGAGUAAUGUCUGGGAAACUGCCCGAUGGCGGGGGAUACCUACUGGAAACGGUAGCUAAUACCGCAUACCAUCGGAUGUGCCCAGAUGGGAUUAGCUAGUAGGUGGGGUAACGGCUCACCUAGGCGACGAUCCCUAGCUGGUCUGAGAGGAUGACCAGCCACACUGGAACUGAGACACGGGCCAGCUUCCUACGGGAGGCAGCAGUGGGGAAUAGUGCACAAUGGGCGCAAGCCGGAUGCAGCCAUGCCGCGUGUAUGAAGAAGGCCUUCGGGUUGUAAAGGACUUGCAGCGAGGAGGCGUUACUCGCAGAAGAAGCACCUGCUAACGCCGUGCCAGCAGCCGCGGUAAUUC
rnacentral:rRNA from 1 species